rnacentral:rRNA from 1 species
UACAGAGGGUGCGAGCGUUGUCCGGAAUCACUGGGCGUAAAGGGCGCGUAGGCGGCUCGGUCAGCGUGCGGUGAAAGCCCGGGGCUCAACCCCGGGUCGGCCGUGCGAACUGCUGGGCUGGAGCACUGUAGAGGCAGGUGGAAUUCCGGGUGUAGCGGUGGAAUGCGUAGAGAUCCGGAAGAACACCGGUGGCGAAGGCGGCCUGCUGGGCAGUAGCUGACGCUGAUGCGCGACAGCGUGGGGGAGCAAACAGGG